AAGGGCACCAGAGAGUGGGGGAUUGAUUUAGUAAUUCCUCUGUCAAAACACCCCUCCACCUCUGUCAUACAUGGUUUCUUCCACUUGAAAAACCUCCUCAUAUAUAAGCCAAUGGCAGACUACACUUCUGUUUGGCAGUUCCUGGUGUUUGAUGUGGAUCUCAGGCAUUGCAGUUGAGGACAGGUGACCAACAAAAGCACUCUUUAACAUGUUUAAUAAAGAAUAAAAGGGGUUAUGUAAAGAAACAUUCUGUGUGUGUUUCAUUUGUUUUGAGAUAAGGUCUUUGUAGCCUUUCAACAUGCAGGAAUAUUUGUGUUUGUGGAAAUGUUUUCUUACACUGUGGUAACAUGCUAUGCUAACUAUAAAACAGGUUUUGUUUGAGUGUGCUCUUUUUUUGCCUUUUUUCUCCUUGCAAGCUACUGAGGCUAACGUUACUAUGGACCUGGACCUCAAGCUUUUACCUACAACGCAUGUUAGAAGACAAGGAGCAGGAACAGGACAGGAUUAAGAGAAACAACGAAUCAAGUUGAGGAGCAAUGAGACCUAGCAUGAACGGUGAUUCCAAUGUUAUUUGCAGUUCUGUCACUUUUUCUCUCAGUUUUCCCAUGGCUACAACAACAGUCUAACUUUGCAGCUGAUUGUAGUGAUGUUUUCAUCUUUGAGGGAAGUGCAGUGAUUGUUGUCUGAGUCAUCAGAAAAGCUUUCUAUUAAUCCUAUUAUUAUUUAUGACAUCCAUCUACAAGUGGUUGUAUCCAUGAGUGUUAAUUGUCGCUGAGGCUGCAGAUGGCUUAGUUUCAGUCCUUGUACUGUGCAUGUGGUAAAGCAUUGCUUAUGUACAGUUAGUUCUUAAUUUUACACAAACGUGACCCAGUGAUCUUACACAGACGUUCACAAGUUCAAAGUGUUUGUUUCUCCUCUAUUUAAAAAGAAAAUCUAGUUUAUAUGUAGAUUUUGGAGUACUUGUCUUGAGCAGUUCCCCGUCUUCCCAGAACUCCAGGAGCAUAUACAGGUACUAUAAUUUACAGAUUGGUUUAAGGAAGUAGAAAGUGGUAUGGUUUCAGGCCACCUUAUGGAUGCUU